rnacentral:rRNA from 1 species
GAUGAACGCUGGCGGCGUGCCUAAUACAUGCAAGUCGAGCGAACAGACGAGGAGCUUGCUCCUCUGACGUUAGCGGCGGACGGGUGAGUAACACGUGGAUAACCUACCUAUAAGACUGGGAUAACUUCGGGAAACCGGAGCUAAUACCGGAGAAUAUAUUGAACCGCAUGGUUCAAGAGUGAAAGACGGUUUUGCUGUCACUUAUAGAUGGAUCCGCGCCGCAUUAGCUAGUUGGUAAGGUAACGGCUUACCAAGGCAACGAUGCGUAGCCGACCUGAGAGGGUGAUCGGCCACCCUGGAGCUGCGACACGGUCCAGACUCCUACGGGAGGCAGCAGUAGGGAAUCUUCCGCAAAGGGCGACAGCCUGACGGAGCAACGCCGCGUGAGUGAUGAAGGUCUUCGGAUCGUAAAACUCUGUUAUUAGGGAAGAACAAAUGUGUAAGUAACUAUGCACGUCUUGACGGUACCUAAUCAGAAAGCCACGGCUAACUACGUG